rnacentral:rRNA from 1 species
AAAUACCGGUUCUCGUUAGAUCACCGAAGUCAAGCAUCAUUGGGCGCGGUCAGUUUGGGUGGUGACCACCUGGCAACACCGCGUGCCGUU